GGAGAGGCAAUGUGGCUCAAUGGUAGAGCAUCUGCUUUGUAUGCAGAAGGUCUUGGGUUCGAUUCCUAACAUCUCCA